rnacentral:ncRNA from 1 species
GAGAGCCGUAUGAUGGGAAACUAUCACGUACGGUUCGGGAAAGGGGCAUAUAGUUGGUAAAAGACUAUAUGUUCUAGUUCAU